UACGGGGGGGGCAAGCGUUGUUCGGAAUUACUGGGCGUAAAGGGCUCGUAGGCGGCCAACUAAGUCAGACGUGAAAUCCCUCGGCUUAACCGGGGAACUGCGUCUGAUACUGGAUGGCUAGAGGUUGGGAGAGGGAUGCGGAAUUCCAGGUGUAGCGGUGAAAUGCGUAGAUAUCUGGAGGAACACCGGUGGCGAAGGCGGCGUCCUGGACCGGUAUUGACGCUGAGGCGCGAAAGCCAGGGGAGCAAACGGG
rnacentral:rRNA from 1 species